rnacentral:rRNA from 1 species
UACGGAGGAUGCAAGCGUUAUCCGGAAUGAUUGGGCGUAAAGCGUCCGCAGGUGGCAUUUCAAGUCUGCGGUCAAAGGUCGAGGCUCAACCUCGAACAGGCCGUGGAAACUGAAAAGCUAGAGUGUGGUAGGGGCAGAGGGAAUUUCCGGUGGAGCGGUGAAAUGCGUUGAGAUCGGGAAGAACACCAACAGGCGAAAGCACUCUGCUGGGCCGUCACUGACACUCAGAGACGAAAGCUAGGGGAGCGAAUGGG